UACGUAGGUGGCAAGCGUUGUCCGGAUUUAUUGGGUUUAAAGGGUGCGUAGGCGGGCAGGUAAGUCAGUGGUGAAAUCUUCGAGCUUAACUCGGAAACUGCCUUUGAUACUAUCUGUCUUGAAUAUGGUGGAGGUAAGCGGAAUAUGUCAUGUAGCGGUGAAAUGCUUAGAUAUGACAUAGAACACCUAUUGCGUAGGCAGCUUACUACACGAUCAUUGACGCUGAGGCACGAAAGCGUGGGGAGCAAACAGG
rnacentral:rRNA from 1 species